AGCCACCUCAGUUGGUCUGGGUUCAAUCCCAGUCGAGGUCGUUGAGAUUUUUCAGAGGUGAGAAAAAUCUGAGGUCACGCCUUCCUUCGGAAGGGAAGUAAAGCCGUUGGUCCCCGGUCCAUGAGUUGAUGGGUCGAUAUCCAAUCCAGAUAGUGGGAGUGUCACCUCUCUGGCGUCGGUGUUUGGCCUCGUAGCGGAAAUAGGCCGACGGAAAAUAAACAGAAUUGGAAGAAGAAGAAGAAGUAAAUUUUAAGAAUUUUUUUUUUUUCAAUUGAAUCGUUCAAUUGGAGUUUGCGACUAUAAUUGUAUCUCUUGUGAGAAAUUUCCGUGGUACCAAGCUCAGCAAAAUUCUGUGGUUCAUUGAACGGUUUGUAUAUCAUUAGACGGUUGGUUGUUAAUUUGCUGAGAUGAAAAUUUCUCCCAAAGGAGUCUAAUAUGGUUUUACCUGGCAAGGUAUCCCUGUAAAUAAUUCGACCGACCGACUUCGGUUUCACGUGCAAUUAGGUCAUUUGCACCCAUUGAUAUCCGGAUUUAUCAAUGGUAAUACAUUCGUAACCCAACUUUGUACCGGGAAACAAGUGCUUUUUGUUCUCUCCGGUGUGGUUUAGUUUUCUCGGUAGUACGAAGGUGCUUGCUGUGGCAGAGGCUGCAGUAAAGCAUUAGUAAUAAACAGUCCCGCGAGUGAUAAUUAUUACCUGCGAUAUCGGUGCAGUGAAGUUACUAAACACUUUUCUUGCCGGAAAGACGGCUUUGUUUAGACGAGCUAUAUCAGCUCUAUUGUGUGAAGGUCACGCGGGUGACGGAUAAAACAAACGAAGGAUCAAUUCACCUACCAGCUCGUCAGGAACCAACUGGUGAAGUGUUUUGUUUUUUACUUUUCUUAUCGAUUUUUUUUCUUUUUAUUGCUUUUGAUUUUUUAUUUUGAUUUAAGUUAAACAGUGCGGUCGAGCGUGUUGCUCCCGCAACAAAAUGGAACAAACAGAAGGAUCACCCUCCGAAGACGAAUAUUAUGGGGAAGAAGAACAUAUAUCUGAUACUGAGUUUAUCAAGAGAUUUUAUGAAAAAGAAUACGUCUGAUUCCUGGCAACGAAGGAGUACUCAAGCGAGUGAAGAAAAUAUAAGACCACCUUAGGUACAUUACGCAUCGGUAUCGUCCACUGUUGAAGAAAACGUUUCAGGUAUCAUUUGCAUUGCGCUCGGAAUAGUACCAGCGACAACACGCCCACCAGUAAUAUCUUGUUCUCGACAAUAGAAUCUGGGGUACAAGUUCUUUCGAACAUACUCAGCCCAAAGAUUUGUUUUUAAAUUACGACGUAUAGUCCUUAGCUCAACAAAGUUAAUCAUCCAAUUAAUCAUUUAGUCGAUGGUACACACUGACAGAUGUACAGAAUACUGAAUUCGGCCGGUAAACAAUCAAAAAGCUUAACAUGAAAACCACAAGUACUAUAUUUCAGCAGUAUCAAUCACAGCAACUGAAAAACUCAAACAGUGAAAUGUACUUGCUUACAAAGAAAAAAACUUAAAAUAGACAGUCAAAAGUGCAAACAUACCUCACCGCCGCCGCAGAGAUUUAUUCUGGGCUGACGGUAUUAUAUCGAGAAGAAAACCAAUGCUCGUGCCAUUAAUCAUACCAAAAAAAAAAUUUUCUUGGAGAUCGCAUAAAUAAAAUACUAUUUUCUAAUAUUGGGCCGUAACAUAACACAUCUAUUGGCUGACGACAACAAGCAUUCUUCGAUUACAUUCGAGAUCGGAUCGAUGGAUGUCUCCGCCAGGCUACGUUUCUACAGAAAAUCAUCCGCACGCUCAGCGUAACGAGGCUGCUCAAGUUCUACAAAAAUACGCCAGUUUUCAAAACAUACCGAAUCUUUCGAUGCCACGAUGGCGUUUCCGAGGUGAGUUUCAGCAUAUGUUGAACUGUAGCCAACUCGUCAGGACCACGCAGCACCCGAAUAACAAGCAGCAAUACGGAAAUCAACAUAACACCGACUUGGCUUACUAUGUGCUUUCGACUGGAUAUUUCAUGUGCCAGCCUAUUAUCGUUGUACUUCGUUCUACGACAACCACUAAGAAAAAUCUAGGCCAAUCCAACUUGAUGUUUUAGGUGUUGAACGGGGUCAUCACAUUUGGUAGUUUAUUCGUUUUCUUUACACUUAUGAAGGACUUUCUUGGGUAAAAUUGUUUAAACCUGAUCUACACGAUAGUCCACGCUGGAUAUAAAUCCAGACACAUUUACCUGCCCAGAAGCUGCUAUUAUCCGGCCAUCGUGCUACUGCAAAAUUACAAUUGCAAACUCGUCCGAGUUGAACGAGUCCAAUUGCUUCACCUAUGUGUAUGAGUAUGUGUAUGAGUUUGGAUUUCGAAGUACCUUAUGUCCACGCCACUAGAACUAGCUGCUGCAGUAAUAGUGCUGCGAUGAAAAAAAAACUGGGCCGAUUGCGAGGAAGGAUCGGAUGAGGAAAUUUGCACAUGCCGAGACUACACUGAUGAAGGACCUGGACGUACUACCUUCACGAGACGUUGAUCUGUCCAGCUAUUCUCACAUGGAUGCUGCGGAAGAUAUUCUCGCUCAUGAUCCCGGCUCCGGAAGCGACUGCCGUGAAUAAUUCACAAACGUCAAGACUGCAUCAGAAGCGCCUGACUGAGAAUCGGAUGUUGUUCGGAAGCGGCACCCGUACUAUAGGAUCCAAAAUCGUAGGUUGUUUGGGGAAUCACUGUGACAACACAAGCUCAGAGUCCCCCAACUUUAGUAGCCGUAAACGGUUAGCUAUAGAUAGUACCAGUUCGCCGAGAACUUCACUCAGUCCGUAUAAUCUUACUUCAACGCCAACAUCCUCAACGAUGGGAGAACGAAAGACGUUACCGAGGGCACUUGCCUACAUGUGCUGGUUGGUCAUUUGGUUGCUGUUUGCUGUGUUCAGUUUGAUGGUAGGCUAGCAGUUUCAGGAGCUUACGACUACAUAGUUAAGGUGUGGAAUCCUGGACGACAAAAGUGUCUCCAUACGCUACAAACCCACACUAAUCGGGUGUACUCGCUACAGUUUGAUGGUAUUCACGUCGUAUCUGGCUCUCUUGACACGUCAAUUCGCGUGUGGGACGCGGAAACGGGAAGUUACAAUCAUGCUCUGAUGGGUCACAAGAGUUUGGCUCCGGCAAAAUAUUCUGGUAUCGGGGAAUGCUGACUCGACCGUCUGUGUUUGGGGCAUCAUCACUGGUCAGUGCUUGCAAACUAUCUGGCCCCAACAAACAUCAACCGGCUGUCACCUGUUUGCGGUUCGAUUCUCGCUUCGUAAUCACCAGCUCCGACGACAGUACCGUCAAGCUGUGAGACGUAAAAACUGGAGAGUUGAUUCGUAACCUGGUUGCAAUAGAAUGGGGCAGAUCCGGUGGCGUUGUGUGGCGAGUCAGAGCCAACAACACAAACUAAUUUAUGCCGUAGGGUCGCAACGGUACGAAAGAUUCCAAACUAAUGGUACUCGACUUUCAUAAGUUUAAUUAUACUUUUAAUACCAUCCUUAGUAAUACACAUAAGUUUGAAUAGUUAUACUUUUAAUACCUUCCUUAGUACUUUUCUGAGGAACGAACGACUGGCGCCAUUGCACGUACAUUAACCCUACAUGCCUACAUCAAAAAUUUAUAUAAUUUGUUUAUUUAUAAGGACUAGUGCUUUAAAAA